CUAGAACCCAGGCAUUGUACUACACAAUAAGCAGCCUUCCAAAGAAUUAUUCUCCCGGUUCUGAGUUUCUCUAUUCCUUAAAAAAAUUUUUUGGGGAAAAAUGCAGUUAUUGUUUUACCCAUUCAAAGCACAAACAGAAAAGUAGAACUAAAGCCACCGCCAUGUUUUCCUGCGACUCUCAGCCCAGGCCUCCUGCCGGGCAGCAGUGGGGGCCGAGUGACUCAGGGAAUUAAGCAUCCGGCUCGCCACCCGGGACCUCCAUCGAAUUUUCAGUGACCUUGUGAAAAUUGCUUCAAGCAUCUGUGCCUCUGCUUUUAAAAGGUGCCUGGGGACACCCAAGUGGAAAUGUCCAGCAGACAUUUGAAUCAUAACCAAAGAAGAUGAAAACCACAGAGGAGUGGUGCAGGUGGAGAGACUGAUUUUUGAAUCAUCGUGGUAACUGAAGUCAUGGAAGUGGACAACAUCAGCCAAGGACGGUGUCAGGAUCAAGUACAAGAAAAACCACACGUAACUUCUGCUUUGAAGCCCAAGGAUGACGUCAGUGAAGUUAGAAGUCCCAUUACACUGGUGUCUCUGCUGCACUCAUGUAAACCUUCUGGUCUGUUUCACACAAACUCUAGCGAGACCAUCUGGCUGCAAGUGGCAGAUACUCAACUCAAACUAGUUUAGGGAAAAACAAAAGGAGCAUGGGCUCAAAGAACCAGGAGAUCCAAGUUAGACUUCAGACAUAACUGCAUCCAGGGUGCUCCAAGGCUUAUUUCUGAUUUGCAACCUUCUCUAAGGAAGCUCCUUCUACAAGGUAGACAAGAUGAGCCCCAGCCAACCCAGCUCACAGCCUCAAAGCUUAGCACUAUCAGUGGAAAGAAUACUGCUUUUUCCAAGUGUACGUACAUUAAUCCUAGAGAAGACAUCGAUUGGCCCUGCCUAGGACUUAUGACCAACCAUAAUUCAAUUGCAGUGGCCAGGAUAAUGGAAACCCGGAUCGGCAGCUCUCAGAAAACUUAAAAUUCUUGAGAUCCACUCUAGACCUGAAUCAGAAUAUCUAAGGAAGAAUCCCAGGUGUUAAUACUUUUUACAAGCUGCUAGAGUGACUCUUAUUGAAGGGGUUCACAGAUCGUGUUUUGAGAAACACUGCAAGCUCCCCAACUGGCUGGGACAGGAUGUUGCCUGAGAAGACCUCAGGUCUGCACCCUGUCAGUCUCGGUGAAGCUGGAAAACGUUCAGGCUUUUGAGUGGACUUGGGCUCAAAUCUGGUGUGG
rnacentral:lncRNA from 1 species